rnacentral:rRNA from 1 species
UUCGCAAUGCCCGAAAGGGUGACGAAGCGACGCCGCGUGGGUGAGGAAGGCCUUCGGGUUGUAAAGCCCUGUCAGGAGUUAAGAAAUAUAAGUGCGCUAAUAUCGCAUUUAUUUGACGAAGGCUCCAAAGGAAGCCACGGCUAACUCUGUGCCAGCAGCCGCGGUAAUACAGAGGUGGCAAGCGUUGUUCGGAAUUAUUGGGCGUAAAGAGCACGUAGGUGGGUUUGUAAGUCAGAUGUGAAAGCCUUCUGUUCAACGGAAGAAUUGCAUCUGAAACUGCGAGUCUUGAGUGUGGGAGGGGAGAAUGGAACCUCUGGUGGAGCGGUGAAAUGCGUAGAUAUCAGAAGGAACGCCGGCGGCGAAAGCGAUUCUCUGGCCUAUUACUGACACUCAGUGUGCGAAAGCUAGGGGAGCAAACGGGAUUAGAUACCCCGGUAGUCCUAGCCGUAAACGAUGGGCACUAAGUAGAGGGGUUUU